AUUGAACGCUGGCGGCAUGCCUUACACAUGCAAGUCGAACGGUAACGGGUCCUUCGGGAUGCCGACGAGUGGCGAACGGGUGAGUAAUAUAUCGGAACGUGCCCAGUAGUGGGGGAUAACUGCUCGAAAGAGCAGCUAAUACCGCAUACGACCUGAGGGUGAAAGGGGGGGAUCGCAAGACCUCUCGCUAUUGGAGCGGCCGAUAUCAGAUUAGCUAGUUGGUGGGGUAAAGGCCUACCAAGGCAACGAUCUGUAGUUGGUCUGAGAGGACGACCAGCCACACUGGGACUGAGACACGGCCCAGACUCCUACGGGAGGCAGCAGUGGGGAAUGUUGGACAAUGGGCGCAAGCCUGAUCCAGCAAUGCCGCGUGCAGGAAGAAGGCCUUCGGGUUGUAAACUGCUUUUGUACGGAACGAAAAGCCCUGGGUUAAUACCCUGGGGCCAUGACGGUACCGUAAGAAUAAGCUCCGGCUAACUACGUGCCAGCCGCCGCAGUAA
rnacentral:rRNA from 1 species